UGGAUUAGUAUUGCUUGCUUGUUUGUAUGCUGCACCCAUCCCAUCUGACCUGGGAUACCAAGCAGGGAUAGCCCGGGUUAGUGCUUGGAUGGGAGACUCUGAAUGAAUACCAGGUACUGCAGCCU
rfam:Anolis carolinensis chromosome 3, whole genome shotgun sequence.